UUCUUCCACCGUGACAUCGCCGUCCACUUCUUCCACUUUGACAUCUCCCAGAGCUUCAAAGAGUCCUACUAAAACUCCAGUUGCAACCCGCUGCGUCCUGUCCGUGAGACUCACCACUUCCUUCAACAUCACAGACCCUUCCAUCAGUGGUGCGGUGCUAAAGUGGCUUGAUCAGGAAUUACAGGCAAAAUUUCCUGUUGGCAGCUUCAACCUGACCUGGAUAGGCUAGCAAAGAAGAUGGAAAAAAAAAUGGCAGAAAAGCCACAAAUUUGUGCAUCUUCCACAUCUGUGCAUCGGU